rnacentral:rRNA from 1 species
UUUUAGGUUGGGGCGACCACGGAGCAUAAUUAAACCUCCACGAUGAACGAGCCUAAUCUCUUAUCUAAGAAGCACACCUCUAAGAAUUAGUAUUCUAACAUAAAAUGAUCCACUAUUGAUCAACGAACCAAGUUACCCUGGGGAUAACAGCGCAAUCCAUUUCAAGAGCCCUUAUCGACAAGUGGGUUUACGACCUCGAUGUUGGAUCAGGGUAUCCCAGUGGUGCAGCAGCUACUGAUGGUUCGUUUGUUCAACGAUUAAAACCCUACGUGAUCU